UGCUUAACACAUGCAAGUCGAACGGCAGCAUGGUUUGUAGUAAUACGAACUGAUGGCGAGUGGCGGACGGGUGAGGAAGACGUAGGAAUCUGCCCUGUAGAGUGGGACAACCGGAGGAAACUCCGGCUAAUACCGCAUAGUACUUUACGAAGGAAAGGCUAGGUAGAGAUGCCUGGCGCUAUGGGAGGAGCCUGCGUCCGAUUAGCUAGUUGGUAGGGUAAGGGCCUACCAAGGCGAUGAUCGGUAGCUGGUCUGAGAGGAUGACCAGCCACACUGGGACUGAGACACGGCCCAGACUCCCACGGGAGGCAGCAGUGGGGAAUAUUGGACAAUGGGGGCAACCCUGAUCCAGCAAUGCCGCGUGUGUGAAGAAGGCCUUCGGGUUGUAAAGCUC
rnacentral:rRNA from 1 species